rnacentral:rRNA from 1 species
UACAGAGGUCUCAAGCGUUGUUCGGAUUCAUUGGGCGUAAAGGGUGCGUAGGCGGCGCGGUAAGUCGGGUGUGAAAUCUCGGAGCUUAACCCCGAAACGGCACUCGAAACUGCCCGGCUGGAGGGCCGGAGAGGAGAUCGGAAUUCACGGUGUAGCAGUGAAAUGCGUAGAGAUCGUGAGGAAGACCCGUGGCGAAGGCGGAUCUCUGGACGGCUAAAACUGACGCUGAGGCGCGAAGGCCAGGGGAGCAAACGGG